rnacentral:tRNA from 1 species
UGAGUUGUCGCCAAGCGGUAAGGCACUGGACUCUGACUCCAGCAUCCGUAGGUUCGAAUCCUACCAGCUCAG